GACGAACGCUGGCGGCGUGCUUAACACAUGCAAGUCGAACGGGAAGGCCCUGCUUUUGUGGGGUGCUCGAGUGGCGAACGGGUGAGUAACACGUGAGUAACCUGCCCUUGACUUUGGGAUAACUUCAGGAAACUGGGGCUAAUACCGGAUAGGAGCUCCUGCUGCAUGGUGGGGGUUGGAAAGUUUCGGCGGUUGGGGAUGGACUCGCGGCUUAUCAGCUUGUUGGUGGGGUAGUGGCUUACCAAGGCUUUGACGGGUAGCCGGCCUGAGAGGGUGACCGGCCUCAUUGGGACUGAGAUACGGCCCAGACUCCUACGGGAGGCAGCAGUGGGGAAUAUUGCACAAUGGGCGGAAGCCUGAUGCAGCAACGCCGCGUGCGGGAUAACGACCUUCGGGUUGUAAACCGCUUUCGCCUGUGACGAAGCGUGAGUGACGGUAAUGGGUAAAGAAGCACCGGCUAACUACGUG
rnacentral:rRNA from 1 species